rnacentral:lncRNA from 1 species
AAAAGUCAUUGAGGAGGUCACGAUGGCCAUUGCGACCAAGCUGAUGGGUCCGAUGGUUGAUUCGAUCCCGCCGACUGAUUCUGCACAAAGGAGUAGAGAUUGCAUAAGUCACUUUUGUAUUGUGUGUUCUGCAACAUACAUACCAUGAUGUUUCUAGUUUCUAGUUUGUUUCUAGGGUGAUUGUACAAAAACUAUAAACAGUGAUUAUAAGGUUGACCAGAGACUUACAGGAGUAGCUGUAGGAGGUGAAGGUGGCGGUGGAGGGAAUAGGUUCUAUGGCAGAGGUGGCGGAGUUUGUCCCAUACUCUCAAAAACACUCUGCAUGUACUGGUACAUCUGCUCUGUCCUCAGCCUUUCUGCCUCCCGUUCUGCCGCGAUCCUUACCGCUAGAUCCUCCCGUAGCUUUCGUUCUGCUUCCACUUGGGCCUACAAUAUUUCAUCCCAAUGUUAAAUUGCAAAGCAAAAGGUACAUAAAAAUCAACGAAUGAUGAACAAAACAGAAAUAACCUGGAGAGCCUGCAUCUGGAACUCUGUAGUUGUUGGCCGUGG